CGGACUGUAGCGCAGCUUGGUAGCGCACCGUCAUGGGGUGUCGGGGGGCGCUGGUUCAAAUCCAGUCAGUCCGACCA
rnacentral:tRNA from 2 species